UACGUAGGUGGCGAGCGUUGUCCGGAAUUACUGGGCGUAAAGGGAGCGUAGGCGGCUAUUUAAGUGAGAUGUGAAAUACCCGGGCUUAACUUGGGUGCUGCAUUUCAUACUGGGUAGCUAGAGUGCAGGAGAGGAAAGUGGAAUUCCAAGUGUAGCGGUGAAAUGCGUAGAGAUUUGGAGGAACACCAGUGGCGAAGGCGACUUUCUGGACUGUAACUGACGCUGAGGCUCGAGAGCGUGGGGAG
rnacentral:rRNA from 1 species